AUUUACUCUGGAGCUUGACAUCAAACAAAGGUUGGGUUUUCACUUUCAAAGAAAAUGUGACUUCUGAGCAAUAAAUCUCUCACCCCACAUGAAGAGAAUCCAGAUGUGCGUCUCCAUUCUGCUGCUGCUGGUCUGUAUGUGCUGAGAUUGCUCAGAUUCCUCAGAGCUUCAGACAAGCACGAAAACACUCUGUGGGAACAAACAGCUGAAGAACUGGCGUUUCUGCAAAA